rnacentral:rRNA from 1 species
UACGAAGGGGGCUAGCGUUGUUCGGAUUUACUGGGCGUAAAGCGCACGUAGGCGGAUCUUUAAGUCAGGGGUGAAAUCCCAAGGCUCAACCUUGGAACUGCCUUUGAUACUGAGGAUCUUGAGUUCGGGAGAGGUGAGUGGAACUGCGAGUGUAGAGGUGAAAUUCGUAGAUAUUCGCAAGAACACCAGUGGCGAAGGCGGCUCACUGGCCCGAUACUGACGCUGAGGCACGAAAGCGUGG